rnacentral:rRNA from 1 species
AUUGAACGCUGGCGGCAUGCCUUACACAUGCAAGUCGAACGGUAACGCGGGGCAACCUGGCGACGAGUGGCGAACGGGUGAGUAAUGCAUCAGAACGUGCCCAGUAGUGGGGGAUAGCCCGGCGAAAGCCGGAUUAAUACCGCAUACGACCUACGGGUGAAAGCGGGGGACUCGCAAAGAGCCUCGCGCUAUUGGAGCGGCCGAUGUCAGAUUAGGUAGUUGGUGGGGUAAAAAGCCUACCAAGCCGACGAUCUGUAGCUGGUCUGAGAGGACGACCAGCCACACUGGGACUGAGACACGGCCCAGACUCCUACGGGAGGCAGCAGUGGGGAAUUUUGGACAAUGGGCGCAAGCCUGAUCCAGCCAUGCCGCGUGCGGGAAGAAGG